AGAGCACCAAUACGAUGAAAACAAAAACGAAAUGAGUUUUCACUGACGAGCAAUCUUCUGCGGAAAAGAAACAAACAGGUGGCCAGGCGCGGUGGCAGCCUUCCCCCACAGCAGCGGCGUGUGGCCUCCCGGACGGCACGGCCGGGUGUGGGAAACACGGCUCUUCUUUCCCGGGCUUGGCUUAGGGCUGGGAAACACCUGAGGAGGGGUCGGGACAGUGGCACAUGACAGAGAUGACACCAAGCUGAGACAGACACACAUCAUAGCCAUGACUUUUGUCUGUGUCACCCGAGAGUGGGUUUGUGGCUGAUGGGAAACCUGAGCUCAGCUGCGGCCAUUCCAAACAAGACGCUCCCCUGAAAACAGCCCGUUUUUGGCUUUUUUACUGCUCUUCCUGCACAUAUUUGAGGUUUUUUACUCCCAUCUCAGCUUGAUCUCUUUUCAUCACCACCGCACAGCUAUUAUGAACUUCUUCACUUAUUUAUAUCAUUCAAAUAUACUGACACUGCCUAAAAAAUUCCGCAGGGCAGAGUAUUAGGAAAUUGGUCAGAAAUCUUAAAUACUGAGUCAUUUGGGAUAGGUUGAACUUUGCUUUUUUUUUCCUCCAGCUGCCUGCUGUGUGUUUGUCAGAUAGGGAUUGAACUGAGAAAGGGUCUUGGAGUUCAAACGCCUUCCCUGCUGCAGCGAGGUGGAGCAUGGCACAGGAUGCAGCUUAUCACAGAUAACAGCUGUGUGUAUCAGGGGUCUCUGCUUCCCUCUCCCAUGCUGUUCGCUCGGCUCCCUGCCUCUCCUGUGUGAAAGGCUGGGGUAGAGGAUGGAUUUCAGACCCAUUAACAGCUCUCCAGCCAGCUAAAGUCAGUGUCACGGGGCACAUCCUGCUGAUUCAGCAGCAGAGGGCAGCUCCUAUCUCAGGGGAAAGGAGAAUGAAAAAGAAAUAAAUCUGCUUUUCCUCAGAGACAUGAGUUGCACCUUUUAACCCUGGGUGAAAUGUGGACUUACAUUACAAAACUACACUGCUUCACUUGCGCAGCUAAAGCAGUGUAAUUUCUAAACCAUUAACAAAACUGUACAGAUAAAAAUUCAGUCCCCAACAUUUACCAACCGCUGAACUUCAGCUGGAAUAGACACUCCAUAGAGCCGUGUCCACACCAGGAUUUGCUGGCUUGAAAGGCUCAUGAUGGGAGGGAAUAUUAAGGUACUCAGAUCAAAACCGUGAAUAACUGCUUUUGGGGUGGGAGGAGAAAGGAAGAUUAUAAAGACCAUUUCAGAAGGUUUCAAAUCAAUCCACCAUUGUUUCGUUAUUCCCACUCCUUUCAAAUAGUCUUUCUAAAUCUUACCAAAACAUUAUCCCAGGAUUAUUAAAACACCAGUGAUGUAGCAAAUAAUAUUUUGAUAAUAAAACUGCAGUAAAAGACACAAUGUUCUCAGUGAACAUCCUCUUAUUGCAGGAGUUGACAAAAUUCCUGAAUUUUGUUUUUAACUUCUCCAGGAGAAUAAAGGAUGAUUUUUACAUAAGGAAUGUUUCUGUUUAAAAUCUGUCUCAGGAACCUGGUGGCCUCUGUUUGACUGUCCUGACACAGCUCUCCCCGCUGUGCCUGUGACUCUUGCGUGCAGGAAAAAGGGCUCUGUAUUUUUGGCCUGGUGCUGAUAUUCUUCAGAGGACCAUUGGCUUAAGUGUCAGAAUUGUAUGAGAGCUUCAUAGCGUAUGGAGGAUGUUGCAGGAACAUGGGCAUGUCCAUGAGAGGGAAAAGGAGCUGAAAAGUAAUGCAGAAGGCAAAAAACAGUUUGUGGAUACUUUUCAACCCCAGGCACUCAGGAGGAGGCUGAGAAGGGAAGGAAAUAAGAAAAGCAGCAUAUCGGAACUGAAGAGAGUAGUGACAUUUUACAGCAGCCGAAGAUCUCCUCCACAGUGUUUGUUGAUGACAUGUGAGAGGUACUGGGAUGAAUCCACUGCUUCUACACAGCAAUACACGUCAGGAACAGCUUUCAGAAUGGUUCUGAUUAUUUUCUCUGCUCCAGAGCACUAAAGAAAGCUGAGAUUGUGGCUAAGCUGUAGAAAGUUAAGUGUAGAAAGUUCCUCCUUCAUUUUACAAUAUGUGUGCUAUUGUGGUUUCUCUUGGCUGGGAAAUUUCAUUUCUAUUUCUAAUCUCAGCCAUGUGUCGGUCAAUUCUGAUUUAAGUUCCCUUCACCCUCUCCCCGCUGUGCAGCUCUGCAUGCCAUAUUGCAAACAUUUUUCAGCAUGGGUGGGAGGUAGCACUGUGGUUUGGGCUUUGCUAUUGAUAUCAGGAUUUCCCUUUUUCUUUGUUUGAAUUUUUUUUUCCUUUCAAAAUAAAAUUGAUAGUAAACAGGUUUCAUUUAGUCCAUAGGAGAGGGACAGUGAACAUUUAAUGCAAAUUUGAAUAAGAAUCAUAAUUUUCCAACUUUUCUAAUUAAUUUAAUGAUAUAGUCAUCAUCUCAUGAAAUCUUCAGCUUGAACUUUUAUUUGGUUUAUGCAGAAGAAUGGAAGUAUAAAUUUUAUAGACUCCACUUGUAAUUAAAACCCACUCCAGUAAAUUAGGGCUGCAGCACUGUGGCUUAUUGCCAAUGGAGGGAAAUUAGGGGAUUGUUUGAUCCUCAACCAAGAAAAUACCGAUGUCUUCCAAAAGGACAGAUUUACACAAAACAUUCAAAAGUCUGACAAGCUGUCAGUUCUCUCCAUUCCUUUUAGCACUGUUUUGUCUAUCUUCUUUGAGCUGAAGGCUCCUGCCAAGUAAAGAUUCAUUUCUCACAUAUACUUGCCUCUAUUAGAUUUUCAAGCUGGACAAAAGGUCACACUUAGCAAUUGCAGAAACUUUUGUCAUUUAAAAUGCAAGAACAUUUGAUUUCUACAUUUCUCCCAAUCACUCCACUGUUUCUUUUUCUCCUUUGAAAGGAGGCAGUGAAGAAGAUAUAAACAUUCUAACACAAAGAGAAGGGCAAGGAUUAUAAAGCUAACAUUCAGCUGCCUGUCCACGUGGCAAAGGCAAUAGAAUGUUGACUCUAGAUAUUUAUAUUGAUUUGUGAUCCUAAACAGAAAUAUUUUAUGAAAUUACAAUAUUUAUCCUUAAAUAAGCUUGAUAGGACUGGUUAUGUGACUUUACCAAUUUAAGCAUCUCUGUCCUUCCUGUUUUUCUGGAGUCAUUGGAUGUUUCAGUACAAAGACUUGCUCUCCACAUCAGGAGCUGAGUCAAGGAAACUUGGUUUUGAUACACGAUGCUGGUGUACGCUUUUUAAAAAAAGACAAACCUGUGAUAUGAAAUACAACAGCCCUUCUUAUGCCUGGGGACGGCUUCUUGAGUUGAUAUCUGACAAGUGAUGCUUGGUCAGGUAUAUUGUAUCACUGGGUAUUCCUGUCACCAGAGCUCUCAAGUCAUUCAGGGGCAUUUCCCUCCUUUGCCUUCCCACCCCGUCCUUAAGCUGUGGUGGCAUUUCAAACACUGAAGAGCUCUGCUCAGACCGCACUUCGUGUACUUCCAGACGACUCAAGCAGAGAGGAUGGCGUGGGGCCCGCAAACAGCGGUUCUUCAGGGAAACCAACUUUCUGCUGGCGCUCGGGAAC